GGGCCCGCACAAGCGGCGGAGCAUGCUGAUUAAUUCGAUGCAACGCGAAGAACCUUACCUGGGCUUGACAUAUACCGGAAAGCUGCAGAGAUGUAGCCCCCCUUGUGGUCGGUAAACAGGUGGUGCAUGGCUGUCGUCAGCUCGUGUCGUGAGAUGUUGGGUUAAGUCCCGCAACGAGCGCAACCCUCGUCCUAUGUUGCCAGCACGUAAUGGUGGGGACUCAUAGGAGACUGCCGGGGUCAACUCGGAGGAAGGUGGGGAUGACGUCAAGUCAUCAUGCCCCUUAUGUCCAGGGCUUCAAGCAUGCUACAAUGGCCGGUACAAAGGGCUGCGAUACCGCAAGGUGGAGCGAAUCCCAAAAAGCCGGUCUCAGUUCGGAUUGGGGUCUGCAACUCGACCCCAUGAAGUCGGAGUCGCUAGUAAUCGCAGAUCAGCAACGCUGCGGUGAAUACGUUCCCGGGCCUU
rnacentral:rRNA from 1 species